AUUGAACGCUGGCGGCAGGCCUAACUCAUGCAAGUCGAGCGAGCGGCGGACGGGUGAGUAAUGUAUGGGGACUGCCCGAUAGAGGGGGAUAACUACUGGAAACGGUAGCUAAUACCGCAUACUAUCGGAUAACCCAUAUGGGAUUAGCUAGUAGGUGAGGUAAUGGCUCACCUAGGCGACGAUCCCUAGCUGGUCUGAGAGGAUGAUCAGCCAACCUGGGAAUGAGACACGGCCCAGACUCCUACGGUGGCAGGAGUGGGGAAUAUUGCACAAGGGGCGCAAGCAUGAUGCAGCCAUGCCGCGUGUAUGAAGAAGGCCCUAGGGUUGUAAAGUACUUUCAGUCGGGAGGCGUUACCGACAGAAGAAGCACCGGCUAACUCCGUGCCAGCCGCCGCGGUAAUUC
rnacentral:rRNA from 1 species